rnacentral:rRNA from 1 species
AUUGAACGCUGGCGGCAGGCCUAACACAUGCAAGUCGAACGAGUGGCGGACGGGUGAGUAAUGUCUGGGAAACUGCCCGAUGGAGGGGGAUAACUACUGGAAACGGUAGCUAAUACCGCAUACCAUCGGAUGUGCCCAGAUGGGAUUAGCUAGUAGGUGGGGUAACGGCUCACCUAGGCGACGAUCCCUAGCUGGUCUGAGAGGAUGACCCGCCACACUGGGACUGGGACACGGGCCAGACUCCUACGGGAGGCAGCAGUGGGGAAUAUUGGAAAAUGGGCGCAAGCCUUAUGGAGCCAUGCCGCGGUGAUGAAGGAGGCCUUCGGGUUGUAAAGUACUUUUAGCGGGGAGGCGUUACCCGCAGAAGAAGCAACGGCUAACUCCGGGCCAGCAGCCGCGGUAAUAC